GGAAACUGGUGCAGCCAAGGAUGACUUGCCGGUGUUAGCGAUUGCCAAUCGUAUUCAUAUGCUUAACUAUAUCGAUCCGUGUCGGCAAGUUGUCCUUGGCUAUUUUGGUUUCUCU
rfam:Lupinus angustifolius cultivar Tanjil chromosome LG03, whole genome shotgun sequence.